AUGGACGCCGGGCUGCUAGCACUGGCCUGCUCUGGCUCUUUCGAGGAUCUGGAAUCACUCCUCAACGGGAGACCAGCAGCCUACACCAUCGGAAGCUCGGCGACGCAGCCACCAUCUUUGUACACGGUCACUGUUGGAGGUGACACCCUUCUCCACGUGGUCGCCGCCAUCCAUGGCGACACUGAGGACUCCACCAAGAAGGCCAGCCUCGUCUUCGACAAGGCACCUAGCCUCCUCUUCGUGCAGAACAGCCAGGGAGACACACCCCUGCACUGUGCUGCACGGGCGGGGAACAUCCGAAUGGUGUCUCUUCUUGUUGAUCUCGCCAAUGGUCAGGGUGUUAACAAUGCUAAGGGGCUGCUGGAAACACAAAACAAGAACAAGCAGACAGCCUUGCACGAGGCCGUCCGCUCCGGGGACAAUGAUAUGGUCAAGUUGUUCAUGGGGGUGAACCCACAACUGGCCCGUUUUCCUGAACAAGGUACUUCGCCGUUGUACUUGGCCAUCUUACUGGAAAACAAAAUCAUCGCAAAUACACUCUACGAGUUGAGCGGCGGGGCUAUUUCAUAUUCUGGACCAAGUGGACAAAAUGCAUUACAUGCUGCUGUUCUCCGAGGCAAAGGUCUUACAGAGAUGGUGUUAGGAUGGAAUAAUGGCCUUACAACGCAACAAGAUGAUAAGGGAAGUACACCUCUUCACUUAGUUGCAUCUAUGCCACGUCAAAAAGACGGACGAUACAUACGUUUACUUCUACUGAAAGCCAAUCCAGAUGCAUUGUAUCAAAUGGACAAUGAUGGAUCAUUCCCCAUACACGUGGCUGCAUCCGUUGGCUCAAGAAUUACCAUCAAUGUCUUUCUUCAGAAGUCACCCAGUUGCGCUGGUCUACGUGAUGCUAGGGGAAGGACAUUUCUUCAUGUUGCAGUUGACAAAAUGAAAAUAUGGCCGGUCUGGUCUGCUUGCAGAAACCAGUCGAUAUCAUGGAUUUUAAAUAUGCAAGACAAUGGUGGAAACACUGCACUGCAUUUAGCCGUCCAAAAAGGAACACUGAUGAUAUUCUGUGCUAUAUUUGGGAAUAAAAAAGUGCACUUAAAUUUAACAAAUGAGAAAGGAAAGACCCCGCUUGAUAUAGCACAUUGCAAUAUUCCCAAAGGAUUGCAUUAUAACCAGAACACUGAAGUAAAAAUCCGUCUAGCGCUCGAACUCGCUGAUGCUAAACGGGGCAUUUGUCGCCUGGAUUACUUUGAAGAAAAUGAUAUUGUCCAAGUGAGAAAAGAUGAAAUGGAUAAAGUGAAAGAAGGGACAGGCAAUCUUUGUAUUGGCUCUGUCUUAAUUGCAACUGUGACUUUUGCUGCAGCUUUCGCCAUCCCUGGAGGUUACAGGGCUGAUGACCACACUAAUGGGGGCACACCAACCCUUGCUGGAAAGUAUACUUUUGAUGCGUUCACCCUAGCCAAUGCACUUGCCUUCACUUUCUCUGCAAUGGCUACUAUUUCUCUCAUGUUUUCGGGAUCUCCCAUGGUAUCUCUUCCAAGCCGGAGAAUGCACAUACAAUUGGCCUAUUUUCUCAUCGCGAUUUCAGUUACAAACUUGACAACUGCCUUUGCACUUGGUAGCUAUAUGAUGUUAGCUCCAGUUGCCCAUAAGAUUGCCAUUGCAGUAUGUGUCAUGAGUUUUCUCGUAUUGGUAUAUCAGAAUUUGGACCCGACAAUCAAGAAUUGUGUUCUUGUGUCACCGUUGUUGAGGAGAAAGGGGAUAUGUUAUAGGAUAGUCACUAUCCCAUUGACAGCAUUCAUGUUCAUGGGCUUUGUUCUAAUUCAACUUUCACCUGUAGUUGUCUUCAUCUGUUUGACUGUGUUAAUUCACACUGGUCACAAAGUGGAACCAGCCGCACAACCACCGACACCAUUAGCUUGA
rnacentral:rRNA from 1 species